AGUGCAGCAGGGCAUCAGGCGCCUAGAAGAUGCUCAGUCAUCAGGGAACGUGAAGAGACAACUUUAAGCAGAGGCCUGUGCUAAGUGCUGGGGGCACACAGAUGACUAAAACAGAACACAUUUCCUGACUUCCAAACCCCCAGGUGGCCAAGGAGAGAAAGAAGAAUAAUUUAAAAAGUUAAACCCUUUGUGUCAAUAUGAUAAGAGAGAAGGAAUAGAAUUUAGCAAUAAAUGGGUCAUGGAUAUGAAGUCGAAGGGAGUUUAUGAAGAUGUCACAUCAAGUGCUAUUGACAAAUUCCGCAGAAAAAAGGAAAAUAAAGGAGACAAUUUUUUUUGUGA